rnacentral:rRNA from 1 species
CCUACGGGCGGCAGCAGUGGGGAAUAUUGGACAAUGGGGGGAACCCUGAUCCAGCCAUGCCGCGUGUGUGAAGAAGGCCCUCGGGUUGUAAAGCACUUUCAGUGAGGAAGAACGCCUGGUGGUUAAUACCCAUCAGGAAAGACAUCACUCACAGAAGAAGCACCGGCUAACUCCGUGCCAGCAGCCGCGGUAAUACGGAGGGUGCGAGCGUUAAUCGGAAUUACUGGGCGUAAAGCGCGCGUAGGUGGCUUGAUAAGCCGGUUGUGAAAGCCCCGGGCUCAACCUGGGAACGGCAUCCGGAACUGUCAAGCUAGAGUGCAGGAGAGGAAGGUAGAAUUCCCGGUGUAGCGGUGAAAUGCGUAGAGAUCGGGAGGAAUACCAGUGGCGAAGGCGGCCUUCUGGACUGACACUGACACUGAGGUGCGAAAGCGUGGGUAGCAAACAGGAUUAGAUACCCUAGUAGU